GAACGCGAAGAACCUUACCAUCCCUUGACAUGUCGUGCCAUCCGGAGAGAUCCGGGGUUCCCUUCGGGGACGCGAACACAGGUGCUGCAUGGCUGUCGUCAGCUCGUGUCGUGAGAUGUUGGGUUAAGUCCCGCAACGAGCGCAACCCACGUCCUUAGUUGCCAUCAUUCAGUUGGGCACUCUAGGGAGACUGCCGGUGAUAAGCCGCGAGGAAGGUGUGGAUGACGUCAAGUCCUCAUGGCCCUUACGGGAUGGGCUACACACGUGCUACAAUGGCGGUGACAGUGGGACGCGAAACCGCGAGGUUGAGCAAAUCCCCAAAAACCGUCUCAGUUCAGAUUGCACUCUGCAACUCGAGUGCAUGAAGGCGGAAUCGCUAGUAAUCGUGGAUCAGCAUGCCACGGUGAAUACGUUCCCGGGUCUUGUACACACC
rnacentral:rRNA from 1 species